GAUGAACGCUAGCUACAGGCUUAACACAUGCAAGUCGAGGGGAAACGGCAUUAAGUGCUUGCACUUUUUGGACGUCGACCGGCGCACGGGUGAGUAACGCGUAUCCAACCUUCCCAUGACUAAGGGAUAACCUGCCGAAAGGCAGACUAAUACCUUAUGGUCUUCACUGACGGCAUCAGAUGUGAAGUAAAGAUUUAUCGGUUAUGGAUGGGGAUGCGUCUGAUUAGCUUGUUGGGGGGGUAACGGCCCACCAAGGCAACGAUCAGCAGGGGUUCUGAGAGGAACGUCCCCCACAUGGGAACUGGGACACCGACCCAGCUCCUACGAGAGGGCGCAGAGAGGAACAGUAGGCAACGGGGGGGAGCCUGAAACAGCCAAGUCAAGUGCAGGAUGACCGUGCUAUGGGUUGUAAACUGCUUUUGUAUGGGGAAAACGUCAAUAACGUGGGAUUGUUUGACGGUACCAUAAGAAUAAGGACCGGCUAACUCCGUG
rnacentral:rRNA from 1 species